CUGGGUGCACAGCGUGAUGAGCUGGUUUAUGCUCUCAGUCACAGCUCUGGCUGCUGCCGCUAAUAGGUUCUUGGCAUUAGGAGCUCCAGGAUCAACAGACAGAGACUUGGCAGCCAGUAAGAGCUUGCUGGAAGCCAUAGAGAUGCUCUUGAGGUUACCUAUUACUUGAAUCUGGUCUUCUUUCGUUUGAGCUUGGCCAGCCAUUUCAAUACCAGCAUCAAGAAAUUCAUCGAAAUCAUCACUGAAUUUUCCAGAUGCUGCAGCCAGUUCCCCACUUUGGCCCCGUGUCGCAUGGACAACUUCUCCCGCUGACUGAUUCAAAUCUGCUGCUGCCUGGUUCAGCUCACUCUGAGCUUCUUGAAAUGACUUAGAACUUGGAGGUAGCAAAUCAACAAGGAGCUUCUUGCUAG
rnacentral:lncRNA from 1 species